UGCUGAAUCCGUAAUAUAGCUUGACUUCAAACAUUCAUUCAUGUAUGACACUAUAAUUCUAAAACUGCAGUGUUUUUGAAGCUGAAAGGCCAGGCUGCAGAUUCACAAUUCAGCAAAGAAUUGGAACAUAUUUCUACAAGGGUGUCAUGUAUGGCUCUGUUGGAUUUUUCUGUGGUAUAAUUGGUCAAGGAAUCGCCAAUAUCAUAAUGACUGCCAGGAGGAGCGUAAAAAAUCAGAUGAAGACAUUCCUGUUCCACCUCUUGUUAAUAGUGCUGCACUUUGGGGGAUUAUGGAUAUAUAGGGCCAAGAGUUACUCCGGCCCAACUCGGCGAGGUUGGUGGGGGGACAGCGCAGGGCACCACGGCGCUACUUCGACGCAGCUCGGCGAGGUAGCGCAGCGAUGGUUGGCGGUGGCGCGAUUCAGAUCCACCCAGGCCACGCAGGGGGGAGGAGGGAGCUGCCACCAUCCUAGCACUCGACAGGACAUCCGGCAGUGGCGGUGGGGCUCGGACCCGCCCGUGUCGCCCCUGAACUUGUGUUUCACCCAUUUGUAAUGCACACCGUAUAUUAUCUAAUAUACCCCAGAACACUGAGAUCCUUUCCCCAGAUGAUCGACUAUGAUUAUACUGUAUGCAAUUGUGAUGCCUCCUCUUGUGAGGAUUCCAAGCCAGAAAUCUGAUCCAUUUGACAUUCUCUUUCAA